rnacentral:rRNA from 1 species
CCUACGGGAGGCAGCAGUGGGGAAUAUUGCACAAUGGGGGAAACCCUGAUGCAGCGACGCCGCGUGAGUGAAGAAGUAAUUCGUUAUGUAAAGCUCUAUCAGCAGGGAAGAAAAUGACGGUACCUGAGUAAGAAGCCCCGGCUAACUACGUGCCAGCAGCCGCGGUAAUACGGAGGGGGCAAGCGUUAUCCGGAUUUACUGGGUGGAAAGGGAGCGUAGACGGCAGUGAAAGUCUGGAGUGAAAGGCGGGGGCUCAACCCCCGGACUGCUCUGGAAACUGUACGGCUGGAGUGCAGGAGAGGUAAGUGGAAUUCCUGGUGUAGCGGUGAAAUGCGUAGAUAUUAGGAGGAACACCAGUGGCGAAGGCGGCUUACUGGACUGUAACUGACGUUGAGGCUCGAAAGCGUGGGGAGCAAACAGGAUUAGAUACCCGUGUAGUC